rnacentral:rRNA from 1 species
CUGGCGGCGUGCUUAACACAUGCAAGUCGAACGAUGAUGCCCAGCUUGCUGGGCGGAUUAGUGGCGAACGGGUGAGUAAUACGUGAGUAACCUGCCCUUGACUCUGGGAUAAGCCUGGGAAACUGGGUCUAAUACUGGAUACUACCUCUUGCCGCAUGGUGGGUGGUGGAAAGGGUUUUACUGGUUUUGGAUGGGCUCACGGCCUAUCAGCUUGUUGGUGGGGUAAUGGCUCACCAAGGCGACGACGGGUAGCCGGCCUGAGAGGGUGACCGGCCACACUGGGACUGAGACACGGCCCAGACUCCUACGGGAGGCAGCAGUGGGGAAUAUUGCACAAUGGGCGGAAGCCUGAUGCAGCGACGCCGCGUGAGGGAUGACGGCCUUCGGGUUGUAAACCUCUUUCAGUAGGGAAGAAGCGAGAGUGACGGUACCUGCAGAAGAAGCGCCGGCUAACUACGUGCCAGCAGCCGCGGUAAUACGUAGGGCGCAAGCGUUGUCCGGAAUUAUUGGGCGUAAAGAGCUCGUAGGCGGUUUGUCGCGUCUGCUGUGAAAGCCCGGGGCUCAACCCCGGGUCUGCAGUGGGUACGGGCAGACUAGAGUGCAGUAGGGGAGACUGGAAUUCCUGGUGUAGCGGUGAAAUGCGCAGAUAUCAGGAGGAACACCGAUGGCGAAGGCAGGUCUCUGGGCUGUUACUGACGCUGAGGAGCGAAAGCAUGGGGAGCGAACAGGAUUAGAUACCCUGGUAGUCCAUGCCGUAAACGUUGGGCACUAGGUGUGGGGGACAUUCCACGUUUUCCGCGCCGUAGCUAACGCAUUAAGUGCCCCGCCUGGGGAGUACGGCCGCAAGGCUAAAACUCAAAGGAAUUGACGGGGGCCCGCACAAGCGGCGGAGCAUGCGGAUUAAUUCGAUGCAACGCGAAGAACCUUACCAAGGCUUGACAUUCACCGGACCGCCCCAGAGAUGGGGUUUCCCUUCGGGGCUGGUGGACAGGUGGUGCAUGGUUG